UCACAGGUGGUGCAUGGCUGUCGUCAGCUCGUGUCGUGAGAUGUUGGGUUAAGUCCCGCAACGAGCGCAACCCUCGUUCGAUGUUGCCAGCGCGUUAUGGCGGGGACUCAUCGAAGACUGCCGGGGUCAACUCGGAGGAAGGUGGGGAUGACGUCAAGUCAUCAUGCCCCUUAUGUCCAGGGCUUCACGCAUGCUACAAUGGCCGGUACAAUGGGUUGCGAUGCCGUGAGGUGGAGCGAAUCCCAAAAAGCCGGUCUCAGUUCGGAUCGGGGUCUGCAACUCGACCCCGUGAAGUCGGAGUCGCUAGUAAUCGCAGAUCAGCAACGCUGCGGUGAAUACGUUCCCGGGCCUUGUACACACCGCCCGUCACGUCACGAAAGUCGGCAACACCCGAAGCCGGUGGCCCAACCCUUGUGGAGGGAGCCG
rnacentral:rRNA from 1 species